rnacentral:lncRNA from 1 species
ACACUCCUCCGAAUGCUGAAGGAAAAACGCUCAAAAUCUCAUUCUUCAGGGGGAAGCGUUGCCACUCCGAGGUGCCCACUGGGAACGAAUCCCAAAGCCACGAGCGCCUGCCUAGUGGGGAAUGUGAACUGUUAUCCUGAGAGUCGUCCUUCUCUCUCCCUGGUCCAGGACAGAAAAUACUGAAUAGACAGGAAUUUCUGAAGUCUAAACGCCUCCAAUGAUAACAGGAGUGUUAUUGGAAAGGGAACAAGCGAGAAGACACAGUCUUCGAGGAGUUAAGUUUUGCUAAUCUAAUGCCACGUGCACAGUAAGAAGCUGGCAAGAUGGGCCAAUCAACUGGGAAGCCUAUUUGCAUAAGAAGAUUAGGGUGGGGCGACCAGCCUUCCCCACGCACUAUGUAAACGUCAUAACUGAUCGAACCAAUCUAUGACCCCUAUGUAAAUCAGACACUGCCUCCUCAAACUGGUCUGUAAAACUCAGCACAUUCACUGCCAGCCGACCCUUUUCCGCUCGGAGACCCCUUCCUCUAUGGAGGAACCCGUUUCUCUUUCUCUUCUUCCUAUUAAACCUCCGCUCCUAAACUGAGGAGUUUUUGUGUGUCCGUGUCCUAAAUUUUUCUGGCGCUUAACGACGAACCCCGGGUUUAAACCUCAGACAAAGUAGCUGCUUCAUUGUGAAACCACCACCUCUUGAAUUACAAAACAUUUUUAUCACCCAAAGAAAACCCCAUGCCCACUAAGCAAUCACUACUGUUGUCCAUAAUCCCAUUCCUGGGGAAACAUGAAUCUUUCUCUCUUUUCUAUUACCUAUUUUGGACAAAUCAUAAAAAUGAAUGGAACAUUUUGUUUCUAACUCCCUUUGCUUAGCAUAAUAUUUUUAAUGUUAUUCACAUCAUACCACGUAUCAGUACUUCAUUCCUUUUCAUAGAUGAAUAUUUUAUGUUUAUACUACAAUUUGUUUCUCCAUUCAUACAUUGACGCACAUUUGGCUUCUUUUCACCUUUUGGCUGUAGUGAACAGUGUUGCUACAAAUGUUCGUGUAUACGUAUUUGUUUCAUUACCAGCUUUCAGUUUUGGUUGUUUUUUGUUUGUUUUUUGUUUUGAGAGGGAGUUUCGCCUCCCGCGUUCAAGCGAUUCUCCUGCCUCAGCCUCCAGCGUAGCUGGGAUUACAAGCAUGUGCCACCACGCCCGGCUAAUUUUGUAUUUUUAGUAGAGAGGGGGUUUCUCCAUGCUGGUCAGGCUGGUCUCAAACUCCCGACCUCAGGUGAUUCACCCGCCUCGGCCUCCCAAAAUGCUGGGAUCACAGGCGUGAGCCACCGCGUCCAACCGUGUAUUCCACUUCUUUCUGCUGCUGAGACACAAUAAUUUCAGAUGACUUCUCUUUAUAUUCACUCAUUCUGAAUACAGCAAGAGUAGGGAGAUGAAUAUUAGGUGCACUUACCUGUGGCUUCAGAGCCUGCACAAACACAAUCUCAUAUAUACCACUUCCAAAUGGAAUACUAAUCUGCACAUGUAACUUAAAAAGGUGCAGGGGUCAACACCCGAUUCAUGAUGGAAAGCAUAAGUCACAUGUUAAUUUGGUGGUCUGUGGUCAAGUGUUCUGUCCGUUUUAAGACCCCUAGUGGCCGGGCGUGGUGGCUCACACCUGUAAUCCCAGCACUUUGGGAGGCCAAGGCGGGUGGAUCACGAGGUCAGGAGUUUGAGGCCAGCCUGGCCAAGAUGGUGAAACCCCGUCUCUACUAAAAAUACAAAAAUCAGCCGGGUGCGGUGGCGGGGCACCUGCAAUCCUAGCUACUCGGGAGGCUGAGGCAGGAGAAUCGCUUGAAACCGGGAGGCAGAGGUUGCAGUGAGCCAAGAUUGCACCACUGCACUCUAGCUUGGGCCACAGAGCAAGACUCGUCUCAAAAAACAAAAACAAAAACAAAACAAAACAAAACACCCUAGCAAAAUGAAAAGCUUCUUCUCCAGAGGAGAGUAAGUAUAUGCAGAGGAUGGCAGAAAUUUGCUUCAAAAUACUAAGCAUCUGAAUUUUGAUUCUCCAAUUAGGGCCAACCAUAGGCUUCAAACAUACUAUCUGCCACGGACAUUUCAAACACUUUUGGACCCCCGGGGUCACAGGGUUUUAGUGGCAGAGAAGCUUACGUGGAAGCUGGGACAUAUUACACAAACUUCUCUUGUCUGGGACAAGUCAAAGUUUUUGGGUCACUCAUAAAAGUCAGAGUAGCACAAUCGAAACAAUAAGUUGCAUCCAAUAUCAAAAAUGGCACACUAAGCAUUGUGACAUUUUCUUUGCUUGUAGGGGGGUGAUAAGCCCUAUUUGUUCUAUACCUUAGAAAAUAUAUCACUUUAACUUAACACACUUAAGAUAUUACUAUGGUGUAUACCUGAUGAAUUAACAUCUGACAAUAGUUUGAAUAUGUAUCCCCUCCAAAUCUCAUGUUGAAGUAUGACCUCCAGUGUUGGAGGUCGGGACUAUUGGAAGGUGCUUGGUCAUGGAAGCAGAUCCUUCAUAAACAUUGGUGUCCCCACCAUGGUAAUGAAUGAGUUCGCACUCUUAAUUCACACAAGAGCUGGUUGUUUAAAAGAUCGUGGCAUAAAAAAAUUAAAAAUGCAUGGAAGUAUAAAAUGGAAAAAUGCCUGCAAACACUCAUUGCCAGCAAAGAUCAGUAAAAAUAUUCAUUUACACAGUAUGUAAACACUCAAAAGAACAUAAAACACACAAAGAUAUUUAUUUGAUUAGGUUAUGAAGGCUAAAAAAAGCCACAUUGUUUUUCUCCUUUUGUUAUUGUGUCUAUGUCAUCAUCUCAUUGAGUUCAUAUUAUUAUAGGAAUAAAUGCAAUUCACACAAAUUCCUGUUCUUGAACACUUGUUCUUUCCAUUUUAAAAUGCAGUGACAUCAUCAAUGUGGUCUUCUACUUUUUGGAGUUUUAGUGUCAUAGGCAUAGUUUCCUAUCCUAUGGUUUUCAUAUCAAACAGUUGCACCUUAUACAUUCUGGCAUGUUCUGCUCUCCAAAAGACAUAUUUUUACUGCCAGCAAUAAAGAGGAGGAUUUAAAUGUUACUCCUGCCCCCAAUAAUGAAUAUAUUUGAUGAAAUUACCAAACUCCAUUUUCUCUUCCUGUUUCAUAGCGUUGGUGGAAGAAUAUUGGAUAAGAAGGUUGACAAAAGCUGUCAUUCAAAUUUAGAAUAUUUUAUACCAGAGAAGUUAAAAAAAAAAAAGAAAUUGUACAGCAAUUAAAAGGCAAUCAUACCAAGGCCUGCAUAGAAAUCACAAAUCAUGAUCAAUCUAGGAUUGACUAAGAAAAUUUCUGUCAAUGUACAUCUGGCACUUUAAAAGUGUUACUGUAAAUCUUGCCUUAAUACUGUUGAAAACACUUAAUUGUGAAAUAUGCAGUGGUCUGUUAUUGCAAAAUUAACCAAACCUUUUCAGUCUAUACUGUGAGAAAAACUACAAAAGAUAAUUAAAUUUAUACCGUAUACAAGCAAUGGACAUUUCAUAGAGCCACAAAUAAUACUCUGACUUCAGAGCACAGGAUGGGGGGAAGCCAGGAGCCAAGUGCAAUAAAAUAAUGUUCAAUGAAUAUGAUAAAUCUGAUCAAGAAAAAAAUUUAAAAGAAAAAAUAAUAAUAUGCAAAAUAUUGCUAUGGAUUGCAGUACUGAGUUUACUCUGCAUUUCAACUCAUGUUUCCCAGAAUUAUUUUUUGCAGGCUUCCCUUUUUGGAUACACAAAAUUGUAUCCAAAUCCAUACAUAUGUUUUAUCCUUUCAUUGAUUUAACAAACAAGUACUGAACACAUACAAAGUGCUAAUCAAUGUUAAGGCUGUGACGACUUAGCAGCAAAGACACAUGUAGUUUACAUUCUAGUGGACAUCAAUUUGGACAUGUCCACCAUUAGUCUGGUAAAUUCAUGAACUCUUACUCUUUCUAAGGCCUGUCUCCUGAAUGAUAGCUGUAAUUAUCAAACUUCUGAAUGAAGCUUUAUUGCACCAUUUACAAGGAUUCUCCAUUAUGGUGGUCCUGAGACUACUGGGGCAUGCUGAGCUAUGGCUGAAGCACUGAUGUUAUCUUAAACAAAUGUUUUCCCUCUUCCAAGAAUGGGUGAAAUUUAUCACCAGCAUGGAUUCAGAGAUAAAAUACUCAAAGGGAAGUGCUUACUAUGUGCCUCAUAUUUUAAUGUGUCUCUCCUUUGUGAACUUUCAGAUGAGACUGCAUUCAUGAAGACUGAGUGAAGACUUUAUUGCACCAUCACAUCACUAAGGUUUUUCUCCAACAUGAACAUUCUGAUGAAGUCGAAGGCUUGAGGCCUGACUAAAGCACAUAUCACACUCCCUACACUUCCAUGUUUUCUCUCCCAUGUGGACCCUCUGAUGCAUAUCAAGAUUCAAGCGCCUGUUGUAGCCCUUCCCACAGUCCUCACAUUUGUAUGGCUUUUCUACACUGUGAACUUUUUCUUGCACUUUAGAGAAUGAAUUCUGUACAAUGUUCUUCCCAUGCUGCUCACAUUUGAGAGGUGUUUCUCUGCUGUGGCGUCUCUGAUGGGUCAGACGAGUUGAGGACCAGCUGAAGCCCUUCCCACACUCAUCACAUUUGUAUGGCUUUUCUCCAGUGUGCACUCUUUGAUGAGAAUGAAGCUGUGAAUUCUGAGUAAAUCUUUUCCCACACUCUUCACAUUUGAAUGGUUUUUCUCCACUGUGCAGUCUCUGAUGUUUCAAAAGACACGAGGCCCAGCCAAAACUCUUCCCACAUUCCUUACAAUUGUAUGGUCUCUCUCCUGUGUGGACCUUCUGGUGCAUAUCAAGAUUAAACUUACUAUUGUAGCCCUUUCCACACUUCUCACAUUUGUAUGGCUUUUCUCCAGUGUGAACUCUCUGAUGGGAAUGAAGAUGUGAAUUUUGAGUAAAUCUCUUCCCACACUCUUCACAUUGGAAUGGUUUUUCUCCACUGUGGAGUCUCUCAUGUUUCAAAAGACAUGGGGCCCGACUAAAGCUCUUCCCACAUUCCUUACAAUUAUACAGUUUCUCUCCUGUAUGGACGCGCUGGUGAAAGUCAAGAUCCAACCUCCUUUUGUAGCCCUUCCCACACUCCACACAUUUGUAUGGUUUUUCUCCACUAUGGGAUCUCUGGUGGGAAUAGCAUUGUGAAUUUGUGUAAAAUCCUUUCCCACAUUCUUCACAUUUGAAUGGUUUUUCUCCACUGUGGACUCGCUGAUGUUUCAAAAGACACGAGGCCCAUCUGAAGCUCUUCCCACACUCUUUACAAUUAUAUGGCUUUUCUCCCGUGUGGACCAUAUGAUGCGUAUAAAGAUCUCGCCUACAAAUAAAGCCUUUUCCACACUCCUCA